rnacentral:lncRNA from 1 species
AUCGCCUCGCCUAUCCUGCAACCUAGCAAGCAACCACAAAGGUAAUCAUGAAUUUAUAGCAACUAUAACCGGUCAUGAGAAAACAAUAUAAGAAAUUGGCAUGUGCAAGCUCUCAGUUCCUUGCCCGGUUUUGGCGGGGACGGAGAAGCAUACCCAGAGAAAAUUUGUACCGCAUGUCAGCUCCUGGUUAGCACCGGUAUUGAAGGAAGCCCAGCCGUCCCGCGAGCGGCCUCCUUGGAACUUCGAUCUCCACUAACACUUCGACCCUGAGAAGCACAAAGAGCUGAAGAUGAUAGAAGUAGCACAAUCAUUUCUCAUCAUCCUUGCAUUUUGUAAGUGCCGAGGUUCAGAAAUAAAUACAACCAGUCAUAAUUGAGAUGUAGAACGUUUCUAAACGAC